UUGAUUGCUUUGUUUCAGCAGCCUCACUUAGGACUAUUAUCCUUUCAUCUUCCAUAUGGAGGGACUAUAAUACUAGUAUUUAUGAAGCUUUUUCAUAAUUACUUUAUGAGUUCUUUCAUUUCGAUCACAUAUAACUUUCAUUUUCACUAGCAGGUAGGAACUAAAGUGUUCUUGAAGAGCCUACAAAAUCAUAACGGAGAUGCAGUUCUUGCUACAGUUGUAAGUUGUAAUCCUAAAUUUAAACUUGAUGGUGCUGAACUUACAAAUAAAUAAUGGGAAGUGCAUGUCGAUACGGCACUUGUGAACACUUAAGUCUUGGUACGAAGUCGCAAAAACUGCAAUAUUCGUGGUAAUGCAGAAAAACAAAGAUUGUACGGCCUUCAACCCUUUGUUGGUUCAAAGGAUAAAUGGAUGAUAUGGGUAUGUGGCAAGUACACUGCAAUGAUGAUGAUGAUGUUCCUGUUCCUGAUGAUGAUGAUGAUGGAUGUUUUCAGUUUUAGUUUAGUUGUAGGGAUGUUCCUGUUAGAUGAUCUUCCUUGUUCAAGUGUUUAGUUGUAGUGAUGUUGUUGGAUGCUUUCAGUGUAAGUUUCGUUGUCAAAUAAUUAUGUAGAUUAUGCAUCACAUUUGGAUAAUGUUCCUCCUGUAAUAUGCACUCUUGUAAUUCAACGGUUUUAUAUAAUAUAUGAUUUAUUCCUCCUGA